rnacentral:rRNA from 1 species
UACGAAGGGGGCUAGCGUUGUUCGGAAUUACUGGGCGUAAAGCGCACGUAGGCGGAUAUUUAAGUCAGGGGUGAAAUCCCGGGGCUCAACCCCCGGAACUGCCUUUGAUACUGGGUAUCUUGAGUGUGGUAGAGGUGAGUGGAAUUGCGAGUGUAGAGGUGAAAUUCGUAGAUAUUCGCAGGAACACCAGUGGCGAAGGCGGCUCACUGGACCACAACUGACGCUGAGGUGCGAAAGCGUGGGGAGCAAACAGGGAUUAAGAAACCCUG